rfam:Ochrobactrum anthropi ATCC 49188 chromosome 2, complete sequence.
GAAUAUCACCGGGGUGCUUUCUCCUCCUCCCAUUUCCUCGGUGAUUCAAGACCGGAUGUCCUCCUCCCAAGUCCGGUCUUCCCCAUAAAACACCCGUCGCCUCCUCCCGCGACGGGUGUUUUCG